AACUUCCAGUAAAACAGGUGUUUGUUGUUAGGUUCUCAGGACUCCGGCAUGCACGCCCACGCAGUACUGUUGGCAUACGUUCAUGAGGUGAAUAGACAGACAUAAAUGGUGCAUCAUCUUUGGGGGACAUAGUCAUAGCAUAUUGGUUUAAAAAGUAAUGACAUAUACAAACCACAGACAUGUACAUAUUUACUUUGGUUCAUGUGUAAUGAUGACCAGACACUUGUAUCCUUACGCGUCAUUUCACCUUUCUUGGCACACUUGAACGUUGGGCCAGUAACCGAAAAGUCCCUAGUUCGAAUCCCACGAGCAGACAAGUUGCGUGCGCCUCAACCUCCAGAUCUGACAGGCCACCAUGCCCACAUGAAUGCUGGUGGGCACUAGAGAAAAUUCGAUUGAACAUGAUAAUACAUCAUAGACUGAAGGUUUUGAACAGCGCCACAGAAGGGUGGAGAAUAGAGCCAGAGUAUUGAUUUGAUAAAGAUAGAUGGAGAUCGCGAACGUCAGGUCUUCCCAGUAGGAAAAUGUGAUGCAAGGGGUAGGUCACGUUCUGAAUACUGUUUUCUAUUUUACAAUGUGUACAAGUUUGCUGUACGUUACUGAUUUAUACAUGUGUGGGUAUAUGGUACCUGUUAGGGAUUGAGGGGCUUCUGGGAUGUGCUUUGGCAUAUGAUUUCUGUAAAUAAGUGUGUUAGCUAGCAUACACCGAUGUCAUGGUCACAUAAGCCACUGCUAACACAGUUGUCUUCAUGCUACAGAUUUUGCCAUCGACAGCCAUCAAUACUGUUAAGCCCUGCACAACUAACUUGCUGUUUCCCAUUUAACAACAGAAAUAAAUGAUGCUCAACUGG